AGUGAACGCUGGCGGUAGGCCUAACACAUGCAAGUCGAACGGCAGCACAGUAAGAGCUUGCUCUUACGGGUGGCGAGUGGCGGACGGGUGAGGAAUACAUCGGAAUCUACUUUUUCGUGGGGGAUAACGUAGGGAAACUUACGCUAAUACCGCAUACGACCUACGGGUGAAAGCAGGGGAUCUUCGGACCUUGCGCGAUUGAAUGAGCCGAUGUCGGAUUAGCUAGUUGGCGGGGUAAAGGCCCACCAAGGCGACGAUCCGUAGCUGGUCUGAGAGGAUGAUCAGCCACACUGGAGCUGAGACACGGUCCAGACUCCUACGGGAGGCAGCAGUGGGGAAUAUUGGACAAUGGGUGCAAGCCUGAUCCAGCCAUACCGCGUGGGUGAAGAAGGCCUUCGGGUUGUAAAGCCCUUUUGUUGGGAAAGAAAAGCAGCAGGUUAAUACCCCGCUGUUCUGACGGUACCCAAAGAAUAAGCACCGGCUAACUUCGUG
rnacentral:rRNA from 1 species